rnacentral:rRNA from 1 species
CCUAUGAUCUCAAAUCAGGUGGGACUACCCGCUGAACUUAAGCAUAUCA